rnacentral:rRNA from 1 species
UACGUAGGGGGCAAGCGUUGCCCGGAUUUACUGGGUGUAAAGGGAGCGCAGACGGCAGUGCAAGUCUGAUGUGAAAGCCCGGGGCUCAACCCCGGAACUGCAUUGGAAACUGUACAGCUUGAGUGUCGGAGAGGUAAGCGGAAUUCCUAGUGUAGCGGUGAAAUGCGUAGAUAUUAGGAGGAACACCGGUGGCGAAGGCGGCUUACUGGACGAUUACUGACGUUGAGGCUCGAAAGCGUGGGGAGCAAACAGG